rnacentral:rRNA from 1 species
CAAUAGCGUAUAUUAAAGUUGUUGCAGUUAAAAAGCUCGUAGUUGGAUUUCUGGUGGGAGCGUUGGGCCGGCCCUAAGGGUCUGAGCUCAAAUGUUUUCCGCCAUCCUUGGAGGGAUGUUGUCUGGCAUUAAGUUGUCGGGCUUCCGAUCUCCAUCGUUUACUGUGAAAAAUUAGAGUGUUCAAAGCAGGCUUAUGCCGUUGAAUAUAUUAGCAUGGAAUAAUAAGAUAGGACUUUGAGUCUAUUUUGUUGGUUUGCGAGUCAAAGUAAUGAUUAAUAGGGACAGUUGGGGGUAUUCGUAUUUCAUUGUCAGAGGUGAAAUUCUUGGAUUUCUGAAAGACGAACUACUGCGAAAGCAUUUACCAAGGAUGUUUUCAUUAAUCAAGAACGAAAGUUAGGGGAUCGAAGACGAUUAGAUACCAU